GGUCGUGGCUCAGUAGUAGAGUGCUUGACUAGCAUAUCUGAAGCCCUGGGUUCAAUUCUCAGCACUG
rnacentral:tRNA from 1 species